CCAAUAGCGUAUAUUAAAGUUGUUGCAGUUAAAAAGCUCGUAGUUGAAUUUUAGGCCUGGCCAGGCGGUCCGUCUUUGGCGAGUACUGUCUUGUUGUCGGGUCUUCCUUCUGGUGAACCAGUAUGUCCUUUAUUGGGUGUGUUGGGGAGCCAGGACCAUUACCUUGAAAAAAUUAGAGUGUUUAAAGCGGGCUAUUGCUUGAAUAGAUUAGCAUGGAAUAAUAGAAUAGGACGUUGUGGUUCUAUUUUGUUGGUUUCUAGGACCACCGUAAUGAUUAAUAGGGAUAGUUGGGGGCAUUAGUAUUCAAUUGUCAGAGGUGAAAUUCUUGGAUUUAUUGAAGACUAACUAUUGCGAAAGCAUUUGCCAAGGAUGUUUUCAUUAAUCAAGAACGAAAGUUAGGGGAUCGAAGACGAUCAGAUACCGUCGUAGUCUUAACCAUAAACUAUGCCGACUAGGAAUCGGGCGACGUUAUUUUCACGACUCGCUCGGCGCCUUAUG
rnacentral:misc_RNA from 1 species